UGCGAUGGUCCCUGCGGA
rnacentral:snRNA from 1 species